GACGAACGCUGGCGGCGUGCUUAACACAUGCAAGUCGAACGGAAAGGCCCUGCUUUUGUGGGGUGCUCGAGUGGCGAACGGGUGAGUAACACGUGAGUAACCUGCCCUUGACUUUGGGAUAACUUCAGGAAACUGGGGCUAAUACCGGAUAGGAGCUCCUGCUGCAUGGUGGGGGUUGGAAAGUUUCGGCGGUUGGGGAUGGACUCGCGGCUUAUCAGCUUGUUGGUGGGGUAGUGGCUUACCAAGGCUUUGACGGGUAGCCGGCCUGAGAGGGUGACCGGCCACAAUGGGACUGAGAUACGGCCCAGACUCCUACGGGAGGCAGCAGUGAGGAAUAUUGCACAAUGGGCGGAAGCCUGAUGCAGCAACGCCGCGUGCGGGAUGACGGCCUUCGGGUUGUAAACCGCUUUCGCCUGUGACGAAGCGUGAGUGACGGUAAUGGGUAAAGAAGCACCGGCUAACUACGUG
rnacentral:rRNA from 1 species